CAACUGAAUCAACUUGGAAAAGCCCUUUAAGCUCAUCCAGUCCAACCCUUACCCCAGCACGGCCAAGGCCACCACUAACCCAUGGCACUGAAGGCCUCCUCUACAUGGUGUGUGAACACUUGCAGGGACGGUGACUCCAGCACUGCCCUGGUGAUGUUCUGGUGUCUCAGGCUGCAGCAUGUCUUUCAGCUUCAUAACCUGCUGCUGGACCAGGUAACUUCUCUGAGCAGACUGUGUCCCCCUGUAAAGAAUUGGAUUUUGACUGAACAUUGCUCACAACUGGAGAAUAUACCAUUGUAAUUAGUGAUUAGCUGUGCCUUUCUGUUGUAUAUACAUGGCCUGCUUCCUAGGCUAAUCUGUCUGACCUUUCACACCUUUCUCUCCACAAGAUAAUUGCCUACUGUAAUCAAGCCAUCUCUUACUUCUUUGCUAAACUAAACAGACUGAGCUGUUGUAAACCUACUUUUCUCUAUAAGGCACUUUCUACACAGUAAAUAAUCCCUGUGGCCUUUUCUAAAUCCCUUCCAGCAGUCUGGUGUACCCUUUAACAUGUGGCAAAAGAUCUGUACAUGGUCCUCCAGUGCUGUUUCUGCCAGUGCCAGAGAGGAUUCUGCUUCUUUUCCCUUCCUUUCUGCCACUCUGCUUCCAUAAACAGCCUUUUUUGUGUUUGCCAUCUUUUUUUGUCUUUCAGAGAUUCAUUGCAGGAAAUAAAGAAUAAGUAAAUCCCUUAUUCCCGUUAUGGUUUCUCAAUGCUUUGUAGGAUACAGUCCCUCAGAGCUGCUUUUGCUGACUGUUAAUUCAAUAGAAUGGAGCUGUAUAAACCUCCAACACAUGCAAUUCUUUGGACAUAAAAAUCCACCUCCCAAAAGCUGUUGUGUUUUUUGUUAGAGAAGCCCUCUUGCUGAGAGAUGGAUGAAGAAAUUAAGCUUCUGAAAAGUGACUCUGUAUCCAUCUCCCAGUGACACAACCUGCUGAGACAGCAGCAAAUAACACGAAGCUUUCAUUCAGUGCUACUGCUUUAUUAUUUCCUCGCAC